rnacentral:rRNA from 1 species
UACGGGGGGAGCAAGCGUUGUUCGGAUUUACUGGGCGUAAAGGGCGCGUAGGCGGCCAGCGCAAGUCAGUUGUGAAAUCUCCGGGCUUAACUCGGAACGGUCAACUGAUACUGCGCGGCUAGAGUGCAGAAGGGGCAACUGGAAUUCUCGGUGUAGCGGUGAAAUGCGUAGAUAUCGAGAGGAACACCAGUGGCGAAGGCGAGUCUCUGGACGAUUCCUGACGCUGAGGCACGAAAGCCAGGGGAGCAAACGGG